UAUGAAAUUUUUCAAAUCCUAAUAAAGAUCAUAUUAAGUCCUCAAUUAAUUAUCCUGUUCUACCACAUUUAAAAAUUCUAAGUUUGUUGUCCAUUGUACAUUUCAUAAUAUUAUUAUACUGGUGCUACAUUAAACACAAACCAAAUGUGUAUGAAACUAAUACAAUGGAAAAAUAUAACAUAUUUAAGAAAUAUUCUAAAAAUAAAGUUUUUCAAAAAACCAGCUGCCACAGUUGUUGAUGUAAAAAAGUUUACAUUAAAUGUGGUAGACUAUGUAUUAAGUGCUCCAUACUUCAUUUACAAA